UCCAGAGUCUCCAGUGCCAGUCGGAGCAAUCAUACAUACUUGAUGAAUGAAUGAAUAAAUGAAUGAAUGCUCAACAUCUCCCAGAGAACAUACAUCCAGUGUCUGGUUCUGAGGCUCACCCUCUGCAGAUGUGGUUGGGAAUGCACCGCCUAGAGCUAUUGCAGACAGUUUGCAAUCAUGAGGGAACCAAGAACUUCAGACCAAAGCUGAUAUGAAGACUUCUAUGGAACUGUUGAAUUAACCAAUGCUGGACCCACCCUACCCCCUGGAUUCUUGCUUGAUGAGGCAGCAAAUAUCUAUUGUUCAACCCAGUGGAACUUGAAAAUGACACAGAGAGAAAUGCAAGUGGCAAUAGGAUCCAGAAACCGAGAGACUCAUGGAAAGGAGGCAGCCGGUGGAAGCAGGAGACAGCAGAAGCCAAGCCAAACAGCAAAAGAAGGAAAUUGAAAGGAGCCAGAAGGGGUCAUCUGAGAGAUGUCAAGAGUGGCAGCAGAAACAGACAGGCACCUCCUGUGCCAAUGCCUGCUUUUGAGAGAUCAAGAUCAUGGUAUCUGUAGACUGAGAACAAAGUGUGAGACUCAGAACUAAGUCCAUUCAAGCUCUGCAUUUCUUUGUUAUGUCCCUUUCAUCAGUAAUUUCCAUUAGUUCCUUACAUCUCUUUCAUCAUGAAUUUCCACCAGAGAAUCUAAUUGCAUCAGACUCGCUGAAAAAGUUUAACUAAUAGAUCCAAUAUUUACCAGCCUGUGAUCUUGGGUAAGUCACGUAUCCUGCACGAACAUGAGUUGUUUCAUCUCUAUGUGUGAUAGGCAAAAUAAUAGCCCUAAACAUGUCCACAUCCUAAUUCUCAGAAUUUGAGACUAUGUUACCUUACAUGGCAAAAGGGAUUUUGCAGAUAUGAUUAAGUUACAACAUUGAGAUAGGGUCCUAUGUUAUACAUGUGGGCCCAGUCUAAUCAUAUGGGUUCUUAAAAUCAGGGAGAGAUUUUCCCAGCUGUGGUCAAGGAGAGAUGUGAUGAGGGAAGAAUGGUCAGAGAGAUGCUGCACUACUGGCUUUCAAGAUAGAGGAAGGGGCCGUGAACCAAGGAAUGUGGAUGGCCUCUAGAAGCUGGAAAAAGGCAAGGAAGCAGAUUCUUCCCAACCUAAAGAGGAGGAACACAGCCUGCCAAACACCCCAGCUUUAGCCCUGUUAAACCUGUGUUAAACUUUUAACCUAUAGAACUGUAAUAUAACAGAUUUGUGUUGUUUUAAGCUGUUAAGUUUGCAGUAACUUGUUACAGCAGCAAUAGAAAACUAAUACAUUCUGAUGGCUAACACUACAUAUGCAUGGGAAAAUGUCUAAAAGAAUGUAUUCUCCAAUGUAACAUUGGUUUUGUCAUCUUUUCAAAUUAUUUCUUUUUUCUGGUUUCAAUAACGACUGUGUGUUAUUUGUGUAAUAAAGAAAUGAUGGAAAUGUUAAAGAAUAAGUAAUAUGUACUAAAUAAAGUUAGAUGACCUCUAAGGCUCCACCUAACUGUGGCAUUAUCUGAGCAAUCCAGCUGGUGGCUUAAUUGCCAAUCCAUAUCCUGUUUCUUCUUGGAUGCCAUAGACAGGUCUUAACUCCUCCACAAAGGAACCAGAAAGAGCA
rnacentral:lncRNA from 10 species